rnacentral:rRNA from 1 species
UACGGAGGAUGCAAGCGUUAUCUGGAUUCAUUGGGUUUAAAGGGUGCGUAGGCGGGCUAUUAAGUCAGUGGUGAAAUCCUGCAGCUUAACUGCAGAACUGCCGUUGAUACUGAUAGUCUUGAGUUUGGUUAAGGUAGGCGGAAUGUGUAAUGUAGCGGUGAAAUGCUUAGAUAUUACACAGAACACCAAUUGCGUAGGCAGCUUACUGAGCCGACACUGACGCUGAGGCACGAAAGCGUGGGGAUCAAACAGGA